rnacentral:rRNA from 1 species
UACAGAGGUCCCGAGCGUUGUUCGGAUUCACUGGGCGUAAAGGGUGCGUAGGUGGCAUGGUAAGUUUGAUGUGAAAGCUCAGGGCUCAACCCUGAAAUGGCAUUGAAUACUACUGUGCUGGAGGUUUGGAGGGGGGACUGGAAUUCUUGGUGUAGCAGUGAAAUGCGUAGAUAUCAAGAGGAACACCAGUGGCGAAGGCGAGUCCCUGGACAACACCUGACACUGAGGCGCGAAAGCGUGGGUAGCAAACAGG